AAUGAACGCUGGCGGCAUGCCUAACACAUGCAAGUCGAACGAGACCUACGGGACUAGUUGCUUACGGUUGCGUACCGCGUGGUAACCUGCCAUUAGCUUCGGAAUAACUCCCCACAAGGGGUGCUAAUACCGGAUAAUAUCCCCGGACCAAAGAUUUAUCGCCUUGGGAGGGGCCCGCGUUGGAUUCGCUUGUUGGUAGGUUAAAAGCCUCCCAAGGCCACGAUCCAUAGCUGGUCGGAGAGAAGGAUCAGCAAAAUUGGGACUGAGACACGGCCAAGACUCCAAGGGGGGGAAGCGGGGGGGAAUUUUGGAAAAUGGGGAAAAGCCUGAGGCAGAAAUGCCGCGUGAGUUAUAAAGGCCUUGGGGUUGGAAAGCUCUUUUACCCGGGAGAAUAAAGAAAGUACCGGGAGAAUAAGCUACGGCUAAAUCCGUG
rnacentral:rRNA from 1 species